rnacentral:rRNA from 1 species
CAGUCGAGCGAUGGAUUGAGAGCUUGCUCUCAAGAAGUUAGCGGCGGACGGGUGAGUAACACGUGGGUAACCUGCCCAUAAGACUGGGAUAACUCCGGGAAACCGGGGCUAAUACCGGAUAACAUUUUGAACCGCAUGGUUCGAAAUUGAAAGGCGGCUUCGGCUGUCACUUAUGGAUGGACCCGCGUCGCAUUAGCUAGUUGGUGAGGUAACGGCUCACCAAGGCAACGAUGCGUAGCCGACCUGAGAGGGUGAUCGGCCACACUGGGACUGAGACACGGCCCAGACUCCUACGGGAGGCAGCAGUAGGGAAUCUUCCGCAAUGGACGAAAGUCUGACGGAGCAACGCCGCGUGAGUGAUGAAGGCUUUCGGGUCGUAAAACUCUGUUGUUAGGGAAGAACAAGUGCUAGUUGAAUAAGCUGGCACCUUGACGGUACCUAACCAGAAAGCCACGGCUAACUACGUGCCAGCAGCCGCGGUAAUACGUAGGUGGCAAGCGUUAUCCGGAAUUAUUGGGCGUAAAGCGCGCGCAGGUGGUUUCUUAAGUCUGAUGUGAAAGCCCACGGCUCAACCGUGGAGGGUCAUUGGAAACUGGGAGACUUGAGUGCAGAAGAGGAAAGUGGAAUUCCAUGUGUAGCGGUGAAAUGCGUAGAGAUAUGGAGGAACACCAGUGGCGAAGGCGACUUUCUGGUCUGUAACUGACACUGAGGCGCGAAAGCGUGGGAGCAAACAGGAUUAGAUACCCUGGUAGUCCACGCCGUAAACGAUGAGUGCUAAGUGUUAGAGGGUUUCCGCCCUUUAGUGCUGAAGUUAACGCAUUAAGCACUCCGCCUGGGGAGUACGGCCGCAAGGCUGAAACUCAAAGGAAUUGACGGGGG